rnacentral:rRNA from 1 species
UGCUUUGGGGAGCUGUAAGUAAGCUUUGAUCCAAAGAUUUCCGAAUGGGGGAACCCAGCAUUUUUUAUAGAAUGUUACUGCUAGCUGAAUACAUAGGCUAGUAGAGGUAGACGCAGAGAACUGAAACAUCUAAGUACCUGCAGGAAGAGAAAGAAAAUUCGAUUCCCUGAGUAGCGGCGAGCGAAACGGGAAGAGCCCAAACCAAAGAGCUUGCUCUUUGGGGUUGUAGGACACGACAUUAAGAGUCAUAAAUGAGUUUUGUAGAAGAAGCGAUCUGGAAAGGUCCGCCGAAGAGGGUAAAAGCCCCGUAAUCGAAACAAAGUUCACUCUGUUGUGUAUCCUGAGUACGGCGGAACACGAGAAAUUCCGUCGGAAUCCGCGGGGACCAUCCCGCAAGGCUAAAUACUCCUUAGUGACCGAUAGUGAACCAGUACCGUGAGGGAAAGGUGAAAAGAACCCCGGAAGGGGAGUGAAAGAGCUCCUGAAACCGUGUGCUUACAAAUAGUUAGAGCCCGUUAAUGGGUGAUAGCGUGCCUUUUGUAGAAUGAACCGGCGAGUUACGAUUACAUGCGAGGUUAAGUUGAUAAGACGGAGCCGUAGCGAAAGCGAGUCUGAAUAGGGCGAAUGAGUAUGUGGUCGUAGACCCGAAACCAAGUGACCUACCCAUGUCCAGGUUGAAGGUGCGGUAAUACGCACUGGAGGACCGAACCCACGUAUGUUGAAAAAUGCGGGGAUGAGGUGUGGGUAGCGGAGAAAUUCCAAUCGAACUUGGAGAUAGCUGGUUCUCUCCGAAAUAGCUUUAGGGCUAGCCUCGGAAUUAAGAAUCAUGGAGGUAGAGCCACUGUUUGGACUAGGGGCCCUUCUAGGGUUACCGAAUUCAGAUAAACUCCGAAUGCCAUUGAUUUAUAUCCGGGAGUCAGACUGCGAGUGAUAAGAUCCGUAGUCGAAAGGGAAACAGCCCAGACCACCAGCUAAGGUCCCAAAGUUACUAUUAAGUGGAAAAGGAUG